UACGUAGGGUGCGAGCGUUGUCCGGAAUUAUUGGGCGUAAAGGGCUCGUAGGCGGUUUGUCGCGUCGGGAGUGAAAACCAAGUGCUUAACACCUGGCUUGCUUUCGAUACGGGCAGACUAGAGGUAUGCAGGGGAGAACGGAAUUCCUGGUGUAGCGGUGAAAUGCGCAGAUAUCAGGAGGAACACCGGUGGCGAAGGCGGUUCUCUGGGCAUGACCUGACGCUGAGGAGCGAAAGUGUGGGGAGCGAACAGG
rnacentral:rRNA from 1 species